rnacentral:lncRNA from 1 species
GUCAAUCAGUGACCAAGGGGAGAUAGAGAGGUUAUCACCAUGCAAACUGCGCCAAGGUUCUGUAACAAUCAAGAACACGUGGACACCUACCUGUGGGAGGAGGCUUGGGGGAACACUGUUUCUGGUUGCUGCUGAAGCCAGCAUUCUGGAGAUGGACAGCUGCUCAAGGAAAUGAAGGGAGAUUUUGUAAAUUGCAGAUUCUAAGCAGGAAGACUCAGCCAAGAAUACAUGCUUUGAAGAAAACUGUUUCAAACAUCCCCAUUUACGUGGAUGUAUCUGCACAGUCCUCCCUUUCCACAAACACCAACACAGAAGCCCCGACGCUGGGAGGCUCUGAAUUAAGACCCUGGAGAAGAACUGCCAAAGGGAUUUACUCUUAAGGCAGCCCAUGAUCCUAUAAGAGUGAUCAUCAGUGUAAAUCGAAUCAAACGACUUAGAUGCUCUCUCCGGCUCUCAAUCUCCAACACCCAGAAGAGGUGUCAUAUGGCGGUUUUUCCUCUGCACCACAUCUUCCAACUAUGAUGUCUAUCAUCAAAAAGUCCAGAGCAAUGAGACAGAUACCACCAUAACUCCCAGCAUAAAGAGAAAGCAUGACCCUAGACGUGGAGUGAAUUGAGUGUGCAGGUUCCUAC